rnacentral:rRNA from 1 species
UCCGUAGCCGGGUUGUUAAGUCUCCUGGGAAAUCCAACGGCUCAACCGUUGGGCGUUCAGGGGAUACUGGCAAUCUAGGGAUCGGGGGAGGUGAGAGGUACUCUAGGGGUAGGAGUGAAAUCCUGUAAUCCUUGGGGGACCACCUGUGGCGAAGGCGUCUCACCAGAACGACUCCGACGGUGAGGGACGAAAGCUGGGGGAGCAAACCGGAUUAGAUACCCGGGUAGUCCCAGCUGUAAACGAUGCGCGUUAGGUGUAUCGGUGACUACGAGUCACCGAGGUGCCGAAGGGAAACCGUGAAACGUGCCGCCUGGGAAGUACGGUCGCAAGGCUGAA